GGGGGGUAGGAGAGAGCUCUAAGGGACAGGAGGGGAGAGCACUAAAAGACAGGAGGGGAGAGCACUAUAGGAAAGGGGGCAGGAAGAUCACUUGGGGGGCGGGGGCAUGAGAGAGGAGGGACCAAUAAAGGAUGUGGUGGGGGAGAAGAGACCAAUAACGGACAGGUGAGAGCUCUAAGGGAUUGGGGGCAGGGGAGAGCAAUAAGGGACAGUGGGGCAGGAUACAGCAGUAACAUAGAAACAUAGAAUGUGGCGGCAGAUAAGAACCAGUCGUCCCAUCUAGUCUUCCCAAUUUUUAAAAAUACUUUCAUUAGUCCCUGGCCUUAUCUCAUAGUUAGGAUAACCUUAUGCAUAUCCCAUGCAUGCUUAAACUCCCCCGUCAUUUCCCCUCGCUACCUUAUUUAUUUUUCUGUUUUCCAUGCUUAAACUCCUUUACUGUGUUAACCUCUACCACUUCAGCUGGAAGGCUAUUCCAUGCAUCCACUACCCUCUCAGUAAAGUAAUACUUCCUGAUAUUUUUAAACCUUUGCCACUCUAAUUUACGACUAUGUCCUCUUAAUGUGGUAGUUUUUCUUCUUUUAAAUAUAGACUCCUCCUUUACCGUUUCCCUGAUUCCCUUUAUAUAUUUAAAUGUUUCUAUCAUAUCCCCCCUGUCUCGUCUUUCCUCCAAGCUAUACAUGUUAAGAUCCUUUAACCUUUCCUUGUAAGUGUUAUCCUGCAAUCCAUGAACCAGUUUAGUAGCUCUUCUCUGAACACUCUUUAAAGUAUCAAUAUCCUUCUGGAGAUACGGUCUCCAGUAUUGCGUACAAUACUCCAAGUGAGGUCUCACCAGUGUUCUGUACAAUGGCAUGAGCACUUCCCUCUUUCUACUGCUAAUACCUCUCCCUAUACAGCCAAGCAUUCUGCUAGCAUUUCCUGCUGCUCUAUUACAUUGUCUGCCUAUCUUUAAGUCAUCAGAAAUAAUCACCCCUAAAUCCCUUUCCUCAGAUGUUGAGGUUAGGACUAUCAAAUAUUCAGUACUUUACCCUUGGGUUUUUACGUCCAAGAUGCAUUAUCUUGCACUUAGCCACAUUAAAUGUCAGUUGCCACAACUCUGACCAUUUUUCUAGUUUACCUAAAUCUUUUGCCGUUUGGCUUAUCCCUCCUGGAACAUCAACCCUGUUACAUAUCUUAGUAUCAUCAGCAAAGAGA